GACGAACGCUGGCGGCGUGCUUAACACAUGCAAGUCGAACGAAGAGCGACGGAAGCUUGCUUCUAUCAAUCUUAGUGGCGAACGGGUGAGUAACGCGUAAUCAACCUGCCCUUCAGAGGGGGACAACAGUUGGAAACGACUGCUAAUACCGCAUACGAUCUAAUCUCGGCAUCGAGGAUGGAUGAAAGGUGGCCUCUACAUGUAAGCUAUCACUGAAGGAGGGGAUUGCGUCUGAUUAGCUAGUUGGUGAGGUAACGGCCCACCAAGGCAAUGAUGGGUAGCCGGCCUGAGAGGGUGAACGGCCACAAGGGGACUGAGACACGGCCCUU
rnacentral:rRNA from 1 species